UGCCAGACUCCUACGGGAGGCAGCAGUGGGGAAUAUUGCACAAUGGGGGAAACCCUGAUGCAGCGACGCCGCGUGAGCGAUGAAGUAUUUCGGUAUGUAAAGCUCUAUCAGCAGGGAAGAAAAUGACGGUACCUGACUAAGAAGCCCCGGCUAACUACGUGCCAGCAGCCGCGGUAAUACGUAGGGGGCAAGCGUUAUCCGGAUUUACUGGGUGUAAAGGGAGCGUAGACGGCUGUGCAAGCCAGAUGUGAAAGCCCGGGGCUCAACCCCGGGACUGCAUUUGGAACUGUGUGGCUGGAGUGUCGGAGAGGCAGGCGGAAUUCCUAGUGUAGCGGUGAAAUGCGUAGAUAUUAGGAGGGACACCAGUGGCGAAGGCGGCCUGCUGGACGAUGACUGACGUUGAGGCUCGAAAGCGUGGGGAGCAAACAGGAUUAGAUACCCGAGUACG
rnacentral:rRNA from 1 species